GACGAACGCUGGCGGCGUGCUUAACACAUGCAAGUCGAACGGAAAGGCCCUGCUUUUGUGGGGUGCUCGAGUGGCGAACGGGUGAGUAACACGUGAGUAACCUGCCCUUGACUUUGGGAUAACUUCAGGAAACUGGGGCUAAUACCGGAUAGGAGCUCCUGCUGCAUGGUGGGGGUUGGAAAGUUUCGGCGGUUGGGGAUGGACUCGCGGCUUAUCAGCUUGUUGGUGGGGUAGUGGCUUACCAAGGCUUUGACGGGUAGCCGGCCUGAGAGGGUGACCGGCCACAUUGGGACUGAGAUACGGCCCAGACUCCUACGGGAGGCAGCAGUUGGGAAUAAUGCACAAUGGGCGGAAGCCUGAUGCAGCAACGCCGCGUGCGGGAUGACGGCCUUCCGGUUGUAAACCGCUUUCGCCUUUGAAGAAGCGGGAGUGACGGUAAUGGGUAAAGAAGCACCGGCUAACUACGUG
rnacentral:rRNA from 1 species